rnacentral:rRNA from 1 species
UACGUAGGGGGCAAGCGUUAUCCGGAUUUACUGGGUGUAAAGGGAGCGUAGACGGCAGGGCAAGUCUGGAGUGAAAGGCAGGGGCCCAACCCCUGGACUGCUCUGGAAACUGUCCGGCUGGAGUGCAGGAGAGGUAAGUGGAAUUCCUAGUGUAGCGGUGAAAUGCGUAGAUAUUAGGAGGCACACCAGUGGCGAAGGCGGCUUACUGGUCUGUAACUGACGUUGAGGCUCGAAAGCGUGGGGAGCAAACAGG